AUGGCCGCCUCUGCCAAUCACCUCGCCGCCGGCCUCCGGCCUCUCCCCCACAGCCGGCAACCUCGUCUCCCGCCUCCGUUCUCUCCCCUCCCCUCCCCUCGUCACAAGACGAGAGAAGAGAAGAGGAGAGGGAAGUCGAGCGACCAGGUCGGUCAGUCGGCGGCCAGAUCCGCCCAUGACCGGCCGGCGACCACAGCACGCCACGCCGUCGUCAGGGGAUUCUUCCACCCCGACGGACGUGCUCGCUCUCUCGCGCCCCACGCCACGCCACGCCACGCCACGGAUCGAGCUUCCCCUGCUCCCACCCACGCCAUGGAUCCAGCUCGCGCUCCUCCUCAAGGGCCCCCCAGAUCGACAGCGCCAAGUGCUUCUGCUCGGCCACGUUACCUGACCACACGACGCCAUGGCCAUGGAUGGACCUUCCCCUGCUGCCACGCACUCGAAGGUUGCUGCUGCUCUUUCUUUGUGAGACGACAUCCAACAUCAAUCACCAGCGACAGACUCCCUGCUGUGGCCGGCCGACCAACUAUACCUGCUACUCACUCGGACGCCUCCGUUCUUUGGUUCCAGGAGAGAUGGCCGCCGCUAUACAUUGCCGGAGGAGCACCUUCCUGCAGAGCUCAUGGGACGCACCCCUUCAAGGGGCUUGCUGCUGACCACAAGGGUCAACUUGGAGCUCCUCUCUGCCCCUGCAGGCGAUUAAUCACCUUCCCGUGGACUUGGUGCCUGCUUUGGAAUUUCCCAUGGGAGAGAGGCAAUUCUGACCAUACAUCUGCAGCAGCAGCAGCCGCGUCAAGAAGAGCAGCGGCUACCUUGCCACACACAAACCCAGCCAUAAGCUUCUCUAUGUCUCUCCCUUGUAUAGAUCUGUAG
rnacentral:rRNA from 1 species